GAGAUGGAAUCUCAUGAGUUUGGAUCCAUUUUUUCAUGUAAAACAUUGAAAAUAUCUUCCAAAAAUUAUUUAAUUAGUUACAGGUUAAUUUUUGAUAAUUUUAUCUAAAUUAUGGAGUUAAUUGAAUAAAUUAUAUUGCAUUUCCUAUAAAGUUAGUAAAACAAAAGCUGCUUCAUAUUUUAUUUUUUUUCAUCCAUAUCAUUGAGGAUUAUUUAUAUAGGUAUAAUUUAACUUUAGUUUUAUGGAAAAUAUUUUCAAUUUUUUUUUUCUUAGGACAAACAUUCUUACAACAACAAUGAGUGUGCAGCUUACAACUACAAAGAGUGCUAACUGCUAAUUAUGGGUUUUUCCCCCUCCUCUAGAGCUCCUGGGUAGUAAAGCAAAGUGUUGGAAAGAAAGCCAUCCUGGUUGGUCAAGCUCUUGAAAUAAACUAUUUUUGGGGGAAGAACUAUUUGGAGCUUGGGAUCGACAUUGGCUCAUCCACAGUUGCAAGAGGUGUGGUUAGUCUUGUUCUUGGAUACCUAAACAAUCCGGUAAUAGAAAUGGCAUUUCUGAUACAGGUGCAAUGAAGUUCAGUAGAAGUUUCAAAGUUCAGGCUAAUUAAGAGAGGUGGAAUUGCAAAAGAUGACAUUGCAAUGUGGACAACAACAACAAUGUAGUUUUGUUUUUUUUUUUUUUGGUAUUGGUGAAUCGUCGAAGUGGUGAACAAUUGAAUGAAGUAUAUGUAUUGACCUAUUGAAAGUAUGAUGAAAGACGAUGAAUUUUUUGAAUAUUAUAGUACACUUUUAAUUUACAUGAAGGUAUUGAAUUCUAGAUGGAUGUGUAUUUUUGUGAAAUGAGCAAUGUAUGAAUGUAAUUACAGGUAAAAAAAAGUAUUGAAUUCUA